rnacentral:rRNA from 1 species
UAGCAAUACGAUGGAAAGUCUAGUGGCGAACGGGUGCUUAACACGUGGGCAACCUGCCAAGAAGUGGGGGAUAGCUCGCCGAAAGGCGAAUUAAUACCGCAUGUGAUUAGAGUGGACAUCCAUUCGAAAUUAAAGUCGGGGCAACCUGACGCUUCUUGUGGGGCCCGCGGCCUAUCAGCUAGUUGGUGAGGUAACGGCUCACCAAGGCUUUGACGGGUAGCUGGUCUGAGAGGACGACCAGCCACACUGGGACUGAGACACGGCCCAGACACCUACGGGUGGCAGCAGUCGAGAAUUUUUGACAAUGGGGGAAACCCUGAUCGAGCGACGCCGCGUAGAGGGUGAAGGUCUUCGGAUUGUAAACUCCUGUCAUUGGGGAACAAUGCGUGACGCUUAACUGCCGUUGCGUUGAUAGUACCCGAAGAGGAAGAGACGGCUAACUCUGUGCCAGCAGCCGCGGUAAUACAGAGGUCUCAAGCGUUGUUCGGAUUCAUUGGGCGUAAAGGGUGCGUAGGCGGCGCGGUAAGUCGGGUGUGAAAUCUCGGAGCUUAACUCCGAAACUGCAUUCGAUACUGCCGUGCUUGAGGACUGGAGAGGAGACUGGAAUUCAGGG